rnacentral:rRNA from 1 species
UACAGAGGGUGCGAGCGUUGUCCGGAAUUACUGGGCGUAAAGGGCGCGUAGGCGGCCACCGCAAGUCGGUUGUGAAAUCUCCGGGCUUAACCCGGAAAGGUCAAUCGAUACUGCGGGGCUAGAGUGCAGAAGGGGCAACUGGAAUUCUCGGUGUAGCGGUGAAAUGCGUAGGUAUCGAGAGGAACACCUGCGGCGAAGGCGGGUUGCUGGGCUGACACUGACGCUGAAGCGCGAAAGCUAGGGGAGCGAACGGG